UUCAGGUCUAAAAAUGACUCUCCAGGGAAAUGUAUCAUUUUUAUCCUGUGGGUUUGGAUGUCCCCAACCACAACAGUAUUUUGAACUGAUAGUACUAGGCUCCCUGGUGGGUUGUGAAAUCAGCUUAGUGGGUGAUACCUUUUUUUUUUUUUAAUAGAACAGAAUGGAAAAAUAGUAUGUUGCCUACUGUAAGUAGGGUUUCAUGACAUUUUUGUUGUGUGGAUAUAUAUAUAUAUAGAUGUGCUAUAUAUGUAUUGUAUACUGAGUUCCAUUGUAAAAUCUGUUUCUUAUUGAGGUUGCCUCAAAAAGUUUGAAAACACUGCCUUAGCCUUGGGAAUGUUAGGAGUCCAGACCGAGAAGUGCAGUUGUAAAGGACAAGUUCAUUCAAGAAAUGUUCCAAUUGUCUUAAAGCCCUUUAACGUUAGUCAGACCCAGGAGUUUUGAAGAUCCCUUUAUUCCAGAGUGGGGAGAAUUUGUCUGGUUUAAGAAAUGACUCAGAUUACCUAAAAUAAUUGGAAUGGAUGGUAUGAAUUCACAUAGACAUAACCAAUUGCAGCCAGACCGCACAGGAACAUGGGUGGGAGAAGUGGACUUGCUUCUAAAUUCAAAGUAGUUCUGCUGAUGAGAUCACUCGUUAACCUUUUAAGCCGCUGGAACUUCUGCCACCAGCCAAUUUCUUCCUAUUCAAGGCUGCUCUGUCUUGUGAACUCUGCAUGCUAACUUCCCUCUGUGUUUUCUUCCACUGCCUUCUGUUUCCCUGGGAACCAAGAACUCCUUCUCCAUUUAAAUUCCAGAGAAAGGACAUGAUUGGUUCAGCUAAUUAUCAUCAUCUCUUGAGUGAGGAGCUCAUGCUAAACCUACAGAUGGGCCAUGGAAGCUUCCGCUGGCCUAAACCACCGGCACUGGGGGUUUGGGGAUACAUACCAAGGUCGUUCCAUUGUGUGGUCAUCUUGUUGGAGUCAAGGGGACAGAUCCUCCUCUUGUGGAUGCAGUCAUGGUUUCCUCAGCAUCCUAGUAUGAGGCCAUCCUGGGGAAGGCAAAUCCCAGACUUAACACUGGGAUGAAAGAAAACCCUCUUCUCUCUGAAGCCAGGGAUCCAUGUGGCCCAAACCCUGAGGUAUGGAGUUGCAUGGAGGGUUCCAAGAAGAAGGAAAGUGAGAAGAUCCUCCAAAGAAGACAAGACAUAAUGAUGAGAAUAAAAACAAUAUGAACUCGCACUAAGAAAAAUGGGAGAGCCAUCACCUCCUCCUUGAAUGAGCUCUU